GUGUGUGUGCGGUGCGAUUUAUCGAAAACCACUUUUCCGAUUGCCCGUGUUAUUGUUUACUUUUCACUUCUUCGACUCGCAGAAUUUCGCUUCAAUUCAAUCUAUUUACACCGAGUGCCGCUGCAAUUGCCACACAGAUUUCAGAUUUCAAUUGAAAUUUCGACGCUGCGAAUGCACUCGCCACUUUUGCUGCUUCCCCUUCUCCUUGUUUGUUUGCAGUGCGGAUUCGAAGACGAGUGGAAAACGAACAGCGAAACGAAACGGAACGAAACCAAACAGCACAGCGCACUCGAAACAAAAUAGCGCGACUCGACUCAACACAAUUCCGACGCAAAUUCCGACCGCUCGCCUACAACAACAGCAGCAGAGUGACCGUUGGCGGACGGGAGAAACAUACCUCGUGUUGCCGCUGGAAAUGCACUAAAAUUGGACGGAGCUCUAAGACCUAAAUAUGCCGCAACU
ensembl:ncRNA lncRNA:CR44060 long non-coding RNA:CR44060